CCUACGGGGGGCAGCAGUGGGGAAUAUUGCGCAAUGGGCGAAAGCCUGACGCAGCGACGCCGCGUGAGGGAUGAAGGUCUUCGGAUCGUAAACCUCUGUCAGCAGGGAAGAACGGUCACUGUGCUAAUCAGCAGUGAAUUGACGGUACCUGCAAAGGAGGAACCGGCUAACUCCGUGCCAGCAGCAGCGGUAAUACGGAGGGUGCGAGCGUUAAGCGGAAUUACUGGGCGUAAAGCGCUCGUAGGCGGUAUGUCAAGUCAAGGGUGACAUCCCCGCGCUCAACGUGGGAACUGCCUUUGAAACUGGCAAACUGGAGUGUGUGAGAGGAUAGUGGAAUUCCAGGUGUAGGAGUGAACUCCGUAGAUAUCUGGAGGAACAUCAGUGGCGAAGGCGACUAUCUGGCACAUAACUGACGCUGAGGAGCGAAAGCGUGGGUAGCAAACAGGAUUAGAUACCCCUGUAGUC
rnacentral:rRNA from 1 species